UGACUCUUUUUGUUUUUCGGU
rnacentral:piRNA from 1 species